AUGUUACUCUAUAAUGAUUCCUUUCUUCACUUAACUUUCUUCCUUUUCCUAAGAUCAAAAACAUCUAGUUCCAAGAAGCACUUAUCUUUAGCAGAGAAACAACUAUUGCCAUCUAAUGGUAGCAAUGCAAACUGCAAUUGGUUAUUUCUUGAAGAAGCAUCUGCAACUUUUACAGCACAUUGGACUACGCAAAAACGGUAUCAGUGUAAUAUGCAAAUAACACUAAAAUAGAUUUAGUAGUGAUAAAUAGGGGGACCUAUAUUAAUAUCAGUAAUGCACUUUUAUGUAAUUACUAGACUUGGAAAAACCUUAUGCCUCAUCUUAACUGACAUUAAACAGUUCUAAUAAAUGUUUUCUUUUUUUUUUCUAAUAAAUGUUUUCAUGUUGCUACUUUUAUUAAGACAAAAGCAUAAUAUAAC
rnacentral:lncRNA from 1 species